UACGAAGGGGGCUAGCGUUGCUCGGAAUCACUGGGCGUAAAGGGUGCGUAGGCGGGUCUUUAAGUCAGGGGUGAAGUCCUGGAGCUCAACUCCAGAACUGCCUUUGAUACUGAGGAUCUUGAGUACGGGAGAGGUGAGUGGAACUGCGAGUGUAGAGGUGAAAUUCGUAGAUAUUCGCAAGAACACCAGUGGCGAAGGCGGCUCACUGGCCCGAUACUGACGCUGAGGCACGAAAGCGUGGGGAGCAAACAGGG
rnacentral:rRNA from 1 species